rnacentral:rRNA from 1 species
ACGCUCGACACCUACGGGAGGCAGCAGUAGGGAAUCUUCCACAAUGGGCGCAAGCCUGAUGGAGCAACACCGCGUGAGUGAAGAAGGGUUUCGGCUCGUAAAGCUCUGUUGUUGGAGAAGAACGUGCGUGAGAGUAACUGUUCACGCAGUGACGGUAUCCAACCAGAAAGUCACGGCUAACUACGUGUCAGCAGCCGCGGUAAUCUGAGGCGGGCUGGCAGGC